rnacentral:rRNA from 1 species
CUGCCUGUAAGACUGGGAUAACUUCGGGAAACCGGAGCUAAUACCGGAUAAUAUAAGGAACCUCCUGGUUCUUUAUUGAAAGAUGGUUUCGGCUAUCACUUACAGAUGGGCCCGCGGCGCAUUAGCUAGUUGGUGAGGUAAUGGCUCACCAAGGCGACGAUGCGUAGCCGACCUGAGAGGGUGAUCGGCCACACUGGGACUGAGACACGGCCCAGACUCCUACGGGAGGCAGCAGUGGUCA